GCUCGAAUGGCCAAGCGGUUAAGGCGUGGGAUUGCAGAUCCUAAGGUCCCUGGUUCGAGUCCGGGUUCGAGCU